AGCGGGAACCCUCGCCCAGUCCAGCAUAUGAACGCUUUUCAGGAAGCAAUAAGAAACUGUGAGUUGCGAGACUUGGGUUACAUUGGAGACCCAUUCACAUGGCGUCGAGGCAGAAUUCGUGCGCGACUGGAUAGAGGGCUGGUAAAUGAGGCUUGGGCAUCGAUCUUCCCCCAUACUGCACUGGUAAAUACAGAAUUCAAUCACUCAGACCACCGCCCUCUUCUUGUUGAUACAAAUUACUAU
rnacentral:rRNA from 1 species